UGCAAUGAUGAACCAUCAAUACGCUAAAAUGGAAUUACCGGCCGAGACUUUUGGGUCGGUGGCGAUAACACAAGGCUUUUACUGACA
rnacentral:snoRNA from 1 species